rnacentral:misc_RNA from 1 species
UACGGAGGGGGCUAGCGUUGUUCGGAAUUACUGGGCGUAAAGCGCGCGUAGGCGGACUAUUAAGUCAGGGGUGAAAGCCCAGGGCUCAACCCCGGAAGUGCCCUUGAUACUGGUAGUCUGGAGUUCUGGAGAGGUAAGUGGAAUUCCGAGUGUAGAGGUGAAAUGCGUAGAUAUUCGGAGGAACACCAGUGGCGAAGGCGGCUCACUGGCCAGAUACUGACGCUGAGGUGCGAAAGGGUGGGGAGCAAAGAGG